AAAAAAUUUCUGGCAAGAACUGAUACCCUGAAAUCUUCAACAAUCGACGCCUUCUUAAAUAAAUUCAUGAGCAAAAUUAAAUACAACAUUGAUUACUACAUUAAUAAAUAAACUUGAGGGAAAUAUGAAAAACCAGUUCCCCAACAAACUUCCAGCCCAAACUAUCUUCUAUUAAUAUGCCAACAAUAAUGACCAAGUGCUAAUCAAAAAUCACAAAGGGGUAAAAAGAAAGUAGCCAAAAAAGAACUCCAAGACCAAAACUGGAAAACCUUGAAACUAAUAUCUUUUACCAAGAAUUAUUCCCAGGAUCACUGAAACUAGAGCAACCCCCAGAAUAAAUUUCAGGGGCAGGGCAGAAGAUCCUUCAAUGUGUUGAACUUGUGGUUCACUGGAGGAUGGUUGAGUUGAAGAGACUUCGGACUUCUUCUUGCUCUUUCGCUUUGUUGGUGUAGAGAGCAUUUGUCCAAUAUCCCUUGAUUUCACCUCUACCUCAUCCUUUUGAUCAUUACUACUGCCACCAAUAUCCUUCUGCUUCAAUUUCUCCUCAAGUUCCUUGACUUGGUUUUGUAGUACUACUACUUCCUUGCUUUUGGCUUGCAGCUCCUCUGAUGAGCUCUUCAAAGUAGCCUCAUGCUCCAAUCCCUUAUUGGACAUAGCUUCUUUCUCUUCUUUUACUUGUGCUUCAGCACUGCCUAAGUGAUCUUCAAGUUCCUUGAUGCGGCUUUCCAACUGAGACUUCUGAUGAAUCUCAGCCUGGAAAACUUCUAAUUGACUUUUCAGAGAAGCUUCACUUGACUUGAUUGCUUUCAACUGUUCUUCAAGAUGUGCUAUGACAUUUUGAUGUUCCUUCUUAGAGGUUUGAUGUGUUUCAUUAAGCAAGUUGUUUUCCUCCAAAAUGGAUGAUAACUGAAGUUGUAGCUUCUGCCCCUCGGAAGUAAGCUGCUCUUUUAAGUUGUCUAUAACCUUGUUUGAAGAUUUAAGCUCUUCAACUGCUUCAUUCUUCUCGGCAAAUGCAGCUGAAACUUUGGCUUCUAAAUCAUUGAGUUUAGAGUCAUUUGAGGACAUUUCUCCCUUCAGCUUUAUGUUCUCUUGAGUUAGUCCUUCUUUCUCCUUUUCAAGCUCGGUAUACUUCCCUUUCAGCUCUUCAACAACACUUUCAAGAUGACGCAAAUUCUUAUGGCUUUGCUCUAGUUCCAUUUUUUGAUUUUCAGCCAGAGUAGCUGUUUCAUGAGUCUGCUCUUCAUAUGUUUUCACCAGAGCUUCAAAAGAGUGUAGCUUAUCCAUUAAUUCUUUACCUUCAGACUCUUUCUGGGUUAGGUUUUGAAUGGCUUCGUGCAUCUUUGCCUCUGUUUCUGAUAUGCGGGCUUCAGUUGCCGAUUGAAGUUCAGAGGCUCUGGAAUGUUGUUCUGUCAGUUCUGUGAUGGUGUUCAUAUGAGAAACUAGUUGUUGAACACUGUCCUCCUUUUCUUCAUGGGCUGAGCUUAACAGUUCUUCAAGAUCACUCACCCUGUUCUUAAGAAGCAUAUUUGUCUCCAUUAAUUGUUGGUUUUCAGAUAAAAUGUCCGCAGCUUUAUCUUCUGCCUCCAAUAUUUUCUUUUUUAGGCCCUCAUUGUCAGUUUCAGAUGAAGCCAGUUUCACCAACACCUGGUCAAGUUCUUCCUUCACAGCUGAAAAGCUUUCGGCAGAUUUACCAAUCUGCUCCUCAUAACUCUUUAGCUGAUCUUCAAGAGCCUUCAGUUUCUCAUUCAAUGUUUGUGCCUCUGAAUCUCUGGUAACAAACUUGCCAGAUGCGUCUUGGAGUUUGAGCUCGUAAUCCGUUUUCAGAGUAUCAUGCAAUGACUCAAGCUCUAUGCUUCGAGCUGUUGCUUGCUCCAAAACUCUUCCUUGUCGCUCUAACUGCUCUUCUGCUGACUUGAGCUUCUCCAUCACCUCACUCUCUCUCAACCCAGUAGCAUUUAGAUCAUUCUCAAUACCUUCCAGUCUUUGUUGUGUGGAAUUCAAUUCAUUACGCAGGAUCUCAAGCAAGCCUUCCGUUUCAGCUAGUUUUUCAAUUGAGUUCCUGUACACAUCCUCUAAGUUUUUCUUAUCCUCUGUCACACUGUUGAGACAUUGACUCAAUUCCUUCUCCUUCUCCUUGGUCUCUGCCAGAACAACCUCCAGGCUUGAUGAUUUUGUUUGGAAUAUCACUACUUCUGCUUCAAGCUCAGAUGCCCUGUCAGAGUGCUUCUUAGAUUCUUCUUCUGCAGUCACACAUUUCUUCUCCAAUAUGCUUAUUUGUUCUUCAAGCUCCUGAAUCCUAUAUUUCUCCGUUUCGAGCAAUAGCUCCAAAUCACUCGCCUUUUUGCUAGUUUCCUCUACUUUAGAGUGUGAUACCAGCAUCAAGUCCUCUAGUUCACGGCUACGUUGAUCUGUGGUAUUGGCCCGAUCUUCAUGCUCAGCGCACUUGUCAGCAACACUUCUAAGCUCUGCUUCAAGUUCUAAAUUACGAGCACUUGAUUUGACCAACUCAGAAUCCAAAUGAGCUAUCUUCUCCUC
rnacentral:misc_RNA from 1 species